rnacentral:rRNA from 1 species
UACGAAGGGGGCUAGCGUUGUUCGGAAUCACUGGGCGUAAAGGGCGCGUAGGCGGCCGAUCAAGUCGGGGGUGAAAGCCUGUGGCUCAACCACAGAAUUGCCUUCGAUACUGUUUGGCUUGAGACCGGAAGAGGUUAGUGGAACUGCGAGUGUAGAGGUGAAAUUCGUAGAUAUUCGCAAGAACACCAGUGGCGAAGGCGGCUGACUGGUCCGGGUUCUGACGCGUGAGGCGCGAAAGCGUGGGAGCGAACAGG